GUAGUCUCGCACAGAUGCAUAUCAAUAAGCGGAGGAAAAGAAACUAACAAGGAUUCCCUUAGUAACGGCGAGUGAAGCGGGAAGAGCUCAAAUUUGAAAUCUUCAAGGUUUUACCUUGACGAAUUGUAGUUUAAAGAAGUGUUUUCUGCUGAAGUUUUGGUAAAAGUUCUUUGGAAUAGGACAUCAUAGAGGGUGAGAAUCCCGUAUUUGACCAUUAUUUUCAGCUUUGUGAUACACUUUCAAAGAGUCGGAUUGUUUGGGAAUGCAGUCCAAAAUGGGUGGUAAAUUUCAUCUAAAGCUAAAUAUUGGCGAGAGACCGAUAGCGAACAAGUACCGUGAGGGAAAGAUGAAAAGAACUUUGAAAAGAGAGUUAAACAGUACGUGAAAUUGUCAAAAGGGAAGCGUUUGACACCAGUGUUGUUUUCUCGAAAAUCAAUUAAAAAUGGCUCGAUUUUGUAUUGCUUGAGACCUUAAAAGCUCACUGUACAUUUUUCGUGUCUUUUUUAAUACACUUUUCGUUUAACAAGUCAACAUCAGUUUCUUUUGUUGUAAAAGGGUCAUUGGAAGGUGGCUUUCUUUUCGGAGAAAGUGUUUAUAGCCUUUGGCCUCUGCAAUCGGAGAGACCUGAGGUCUGCAGCGUAGACUCUUCGGGGUUAGAUACAUUUGUGCUAAGUUAUAGCUUUUUAUAGACAACUUGUUGACUAUAAUUAGUCUUGUAGCUUACUCGCUUAAUGCUAUUUUACCUACGCUUAGGAUGUUGAAGAUGUAGCACAUCAU
rnacentral:rRNA from 1 species